rnacentral:rRNA from 1 species
AGUGAACGCUGGCGGUAUGCCUAACACAUGCAAGUCGAACGGCAGCACAUUAAGAUCUUGCUCGUACGAUUGGCGAGUGACGGACGGGUAAUGAGUGCAUCGCAAGCUACUUUUUCUUGGAUGAUAACGUGGGGCAACUUAUGCUAAUACCUCAUACAUCCUACGGGUGGAAGCAGUGGAUCUUCGGACCUUGUGCUAUUGGAUGGGCCGAUGUCGGAUUAGCUAGUUGGCGGGGUAAAGGCCCACCAAGGCGACGAUCCGUAGCUGGUCUGAGAGGAUGAUAAGCGACACGGGAACUGAGACACGGACAAGACUACUGCGGGAGGGCGCAGUCGCGUAUAUUGGACAACGGGGGCAAGCAUGGUACAGCGAGAUGGAGUGGGUUAAGGCGGCGCUGGGGUUGUAAAGACGUUUUGUUGGGAAAGAAACGCAGCCGGUACAUAACAAGCUGUUCUGACGGUACGUAAAGAAUAAGCACCGGCUAACUUCGUG